rnacentral:rRNA from 1 species
GAUGAACGCUGGCGGCGUGCUUUAACACAUGCAAGUCGAACGAAGCGCUUGAAUGGAAUUCUUCGGAAGGAAGCUCAAGUGACUGAGUGGCGGACGGGUGAGUAACGCGUGGGUAACCUGCCUCAUACAGGGGAUAACAGUUAGAAAUGACUGCUAAUACCGCAUAAGCACACGUGAUCGCAUGAUCGAGUGUGAAAAAACUCCGGUGGUAUGAGAUGGACCCGCGUCUGAUUAGCUGGUUGGUGGGUAACGGCCACCAAGGCGACGAUCAGUAGCCGGCCUGAGAGGGUGAACGGCCACAUUGGGACUGAGACACGGCCCAAACUCCU